CCGGAUGAACUGACCUCAGGAAAGUUACCACAGGGAUAACUGGCUUGUGGUGGCCAAGGAUUUGCAGUGACGUCGCUUUUUGAUCCUUCAAUGUCGGCUCUUCCUAUCAUUGUGAAGCAGAAUUUGCAAAGCGUUGGAUUAUUCUUCUCUUUGGUGACCCCGGGGUUAGACGGUUUGACUGGAACUGGUAAGCUGGAGGGCUGAACCAGGUU
rnacentral:ncRNA from 1 species